UACGAAGGGGGCUAGCGUUGCUCGGAAUCACUGGGCGUAAAGCGCACGUAGGCGGCUUUCUAAGUCAGGGGUGAAAUCCUGGAGCUCAACUCCAGAACUGCCUUUGAUACUGGAGAGCUAGAGUCCGGAAGAAGUGAGUGGAACUGCGAGUGUAGAGGUGAAAUUCGUAGAUAUUCGCAAGAACACCAGUGGCGAAGGCGGCUCACUGGUCCGGUACUGACGCUGAGGUGCGAAAGCGUGGGGAGCAAACAGG
rnacentral:rRNA from 1 species